ensembl:miRNA MIR144 microRNA 144
UGGGGCCCUGGCUGGGAUAUCAUCAUAUACUGUAAGUUUGCGAUGAGACACUACAGUAUAGAUGAUGUACUAGUCCGGGCACCCCC